GACGAACGCUGGCGGCGUGCUUAACACAUGCAAGUCGAACGGAAAGGCCCUGCUUUUGUGGGGUGCUCGAGUGGCGAACGGGUGAGUAACACGUGAGUAACCUGCCCUUGACUUUGGGAUAACUUCAGGAAACUGGGGCUAAUACCGGAUAGGAGCUCCUGCUGCAUGGGGGGGGUUGGAAAGUUUCGGCGGUUGGGGAUGGACUCGCGGCUUAUCAGUUUGUUGGUGGGGUAGUGGCUUACCAAGGCUUUGACGGGUAGCCGGCCUGAGAGGGUGACCGGCCACAUUGGGACUGAGAUACGGCCCAGCCUCCUACGGGAGGCAGCAGUGGGGAAUAUUGCACAAUGGGCGGAAGCCUGAUGCAGCAACGCCGCGUGCGGGAUGACGGCCUUCGGGUUGUAAACCGCUUUCGCCUGUGACGAAGCGUGAGUGACGGUAAUGGGUAAAGAAGCACCGGCUAACUACGUG
rnacentral:rRNA from 1 species